UACGGAGGGUGCAAGCGUUGUUCGGAAUCACUGGGCGUAAAGCGCGUGUAGGCGGUCUCUUAAGUCCGAUGUGAAAGCCCGGGGCUCACCCCCGGAAGUGCAUCGAAUACUGGGAGACUAGAGUACCGGAGAGGAAGGUGGAAUUCCUGGUGUAGCGGUGAAAUGCGUAGAUAUCAGGAGGAACACCGGUGGCGAAGGCGGCCUUCUGGACGGAUACUGACGCUGAGACGCGAAAGCGUGGGGAGCAAACAGG
rnacentral:rRNA from 1 species